rnacentral:piRNA from 1 species
UGGACUAUUCGAAUGAGGUGCUCUCUUC